AUGUUGGUGAAAGCAGUGGCACAAGCAAUCCCGGCAUAUGUCGUGUCUUGCUUCGAUCUAACUAAGAAAUUGUGUGAAGAGAUUGACACUCUGAUUAACCGGUAUUGGUGGAGCCAACAGGACAAGUGGGACCGAUGCCAUUGGAUAUGGUGGGAUAAACUCACCAAGUCAAAGAAAGAUGGGGGAUUGGGCUUUCGGGACCUGCACAUUUUCACUCUGGCCAUGCUUGCAAGACAGGGGUGGCGAAUACUGCGGGGACCGGAUACUUUGUGUGCGAGGGUUUUAAAAGUAAGGUAUUUUCCAAACUACUCGGUCCUAGAAGCAUAAGCAAUUCGUGAUAUGUCAUACACCUGGAGGAGUAUCUUUAAAGGGGUGGAGCUGCUGAAAGAAGGAAUUGUUUGGAGGAUUGGGACAGGAGAACAUGUGCGUAUCUAG
rnacentral:rRNA from 1 species